rnacentral:rRNA from 1 species
GACGAUCGCUGGCGGCGUGCUUAACACAUGCAAGUCGAACGGAAAGGCCCUGCUUUUUUGGGGUGCUCGAGUGGCGAACGGGUGAGUAACACGUGAGUAACCUGCCCUUGACUUUGGGAUAACUGCAGGAAACUGGGGCUAAUACCGGAUAGGAGCUCCUGCUGCAUGGUGUGGGUUGGAAAGUUUCGGCGGUUGGGGAUGUACUCGCGUCUUCUCAGCUUGUUGGUGGGGUAGUGGCUUACCAAGGCUUUGACGGGUAGCCGGCCUGAGAGGGUGACCGGCCACAUUGGGACUGAGAUACGGCCCAGCCUACUACGGGAGGCAGCAGUGGGGAAUAUUGCACAAUGGGCGGAAGCCUGAUGCAGCAACGCCGCGUGCGGGAUGACGGCCUUCGGGUUGUAAACCGCUUUCGCCUGUGACGAAGCGUGAGUGACGGUAAUGGGUAAAGAAGCACCGGCUAACUACGUG